GGGUUGUGAGGUUAAGCGACUAAGCGUACACGGUGGAUGCCCUGGCAGUCAGAGGCGAUGAAGGGCGUGCUAAUCUGCGAUAAGCGCCGGUAAGGUGAUAUGAACCGUUAUAACCGGCGAUACCCGAAUGGGGAAACCCAGUGUGAUUCGUCACACUAUCAUUAACUGAAUCCAUAGGUUAAUGAGGCGAACCGGGGGAACUGAAACAUCUAAGUACCCCGAGGAAAAGAAAUCAACCGAGAUUCCCCCAGUAGCGGCGAGCGAACGGGGAGGAGCCCAGAGCCUGAAUCAGCAUGUGUGUUAGUGGAAGCGUCUGGAAAGGCGCGCGAUACAGGGUGACAGCCCCGUACACAAAAGCGCAUGUGCUGUGAGCUCGAUGAGUAGGGCGGGACACGUGGUAUCCUGUCUGAAUAUGGGGGGACCAUCCUCCAAGGCUAAAUACUCCUGACUGACCGAUAGUGAACCAGUACCGUGAGGGAAAGGCGAAAAGAACCCCGGCGAGGGGAGUGAAAAAGAACCUGAAACCGUGUACGUACAAGCAGUGGGAGCCCCACCACUAAGCCAGUGGUGAACUCCACAUACGCAUCCUUUGCUGAGGAUACGGUUAACGGAGCGAAAGCGACGUUCAACCGCAAAAGAAGCAGAGGGGGCUUAGUGGUGGGGUGACUGCGUACCUUUUGUAUAAUGGGUCAGCGACUUAUAUUCUGUAGCAAGGUUAACCGAAUAGGGGAGCCGGAGGGAAACCGAGUCUUAAUUGGGCGUUAAGUUGCAGGGUAUAGACCCGAAACCCGGUGAUCUAGCCAUGGGCAGGUUGAAGGUUGGGUAACACUAACUGGAGGACCGAACCGACUAAUGUUGAAAAAUUAGCGGAUGACCUGUGGCUGGGGGUGAAAGGCCAAUCAAACCGGGAGAUAGCUGGUUCUCCCCGAAAGCUAUUUAGGUAGCGCCUCGUGAAUUCAUCUCCGGGGGUAGAGCACUGUUUCGGCUAGGGGGCCAUCCCGGCUUACCAACCCGAUGCAAACUGCGAAUACCGGAGAAUGUUAUCACGGGAGACACACGGCGGGUGCUAACGUCCGUCGUGAAGAGGGAAACAACCCAGACCGCCAGCUAAGGUCCCAAAGUCAUGGUUAAGUGGGAAACGAUGUGGGAAGGCCCAGACAGCCAGGAUGUUGGCUUAGAAGCAGCCAUCAUUUAAAGAAAGCGUAAUAGCUCACUGGUCGAGUCGGCCUGCGCGGAAGAUGUAACGGGGCUAAACCAUGCACCGAAGCUGCGGCAGCGAACGUAUCACUUAAAGCGAUUCAGCGGGUUACGAUUGACGGAGCGAAGCGACGUCAAAGCGUAUACAAAGUCGAGUCGGUUUAAGGAUACGUUCGUUGGGUAGGGGAGCGUUCUGUAAGCCUGCGAAGGUGGCCUGUGAGGGUUGCUGGAGGUAUCAGAAGUGCGAAUGCUGACAUAAGUAACGAUAAAGCGGGUGAAAAGCCCGCUCGCCGGAAGACCAAGGGUUCCUGUCCAACGUUAAUCGGGGCAGGGUGAGUCGACCCCUAAGGCGAGGCCGAAAGGCGUAGUCGAUGGGAAACGGGUUAAUAUUCCCGUACUUGGUGUUACUGCGAAGGGGGACGGAGAAGGCUAUGUUGGCCGGGCGACGGUUGUCCCGGUUUAAGCGUGUAGGUGUGUGUUCCAGGUAAAUCCGGUUCACUUUAACACUGAGGCGUGAUGACGAGGCACUACGGUGCUGAAGCAACAAAUGCCCUGCUUCCAGGAAAAGCCUCUAAGCAUCAGGUAACAUCAAAUCGUACCCCAAACCGACACAGGUGGUCAGGUAGAGAAUACCAAGGCGCUUGAGAGAACUCGGGUGAAGGAACUAGGCAAAAUGGUGCCGUAACUUCGGGAGAAGGCACGCUGACACGUAGGUGAAGUGAUUUACUCAUGGAGCUGAAGUCAGUCGAAGAUACCAGCUGGCUGCAACUGUUUAUUAAAAACACAGCACUGUGCAAACACGAAAGUGGACGUAUACGGUGUGACGCCUGCCCGGUGCCGGAAGGUUAAUUGAUGGGGUCAGCGCAAGCGAAGCUCCUGAUCGAAGCCCCGGUAAACGGCGGCCGUAACUAUAACGGUCCUAAGGUAGCGAAAUUCCUUGUCGGGUAAGUUCCGACCUGCACGAAUGGCGUAAUGAUGGCCAGGCUGUCUCCACCCGAGACUCAGUGAAAUUGAACUCGCUGUGAAGAUGCAGUGUACCCGCGGCAAGACGGAAAGACCCCGUGAACCUUUACUAUAGCUUGACACUGAACAUUGAGCCUUGAUGUGUAGGAUAGGUGGGAGGCUUUGAAGUGUGGACGCCAGUCUGCAUGGAGCCGACCUUGAAAUACCACCCUUUAAUGUUUGAUGUUCUAACGUGGACCCGUGAUCCGGGUUGCGGACAGUGUCUGGUGGGUAGUUUGACUGGGGCGGUCUCCUCCUAAAGAGUAACGGAGGAGCACGAAGGUUGGCUAAUCCUGGUCGGACAUCAGGAGGUUAGUGCAAUGGCAUAAGCCAGCUUGACUGCGAGCGUGACGGCGCGAGCAGGUGCGAAAGCAGGUCAUAGUGAUCCGGUGGUUCUGAAUGGAAGGGCCAUCGCUCAACGGAUAAAAGGUACUCCGGGGAUAACAGGCUGAUACCGCCCAAGAGUUCAUAUCGACGGCGGUGUUUGGCACCUCGAUGUCGGCUCAUCACAUCCUGGGGCUGAAGUAGGUCCCAAGGGUAUGGCUGUUCGCCAUUUAAAGUGGUACGCGAGCUGGGUUUAGAACGUCGUGAGACAGUUCGGUCCCUAUCUGCCGUGGGCGCUGGAGAACUGAGGGGGCUGCUCCUAGUACGAGAGGACCGGAGUGGACGCAUCACUGGUGUUCGGGUUGUCAUGCCAAUGGCACUGCCCGGUAGCUAAAUGCGGAAGAGAUAAGUGCUGAAAGCAUCUAAGCACGAAACUUGCCCCGAGAUGAGUUCUCCCUGAGACUUAGAGUCUCCUGAAGGAACGUUGAAGACGACGACGUUGAUAGGCCGGGUGUGUAAGCGCAGCGAUGCGUUGAGCUAACCGGUACUAAUGAACCGUGAGGCUUAACCUUACAACGCCGAAG
rnacentral:rRNA from 1 species